rnacentral:lncRNA from 1 species
AGUAUUGGUUUUUUGAGGGAUUUUCAAAGCGAGUGAUGUUCUGUGUGAAUUCAGAUCUUUGAGAAAUAAAACCAGUUUAUAAAUUUUUACAUUUCGUGUCUUUUGUAGUAUUUUUAUAAGUGAAAAAUAGAGACUUAUUGGUAUGCUUGUUAUAAAUGUAUGUAAGAGAUUUGAAAUCAAUCGAAUGGCUAGAUCGAUACAAAUAAAGGUUUUUGUGGGCUAAGGUCUCGAGAUUUAGGGUUUUGAAGACUAGUAAGGUUUUCUUAGAUAUCUAGUAAUUUGCCAAUUGGAUUGGAGAGAUUUUUGAUUUUAUCAGUAGAAGACUUGAUUUCCUACAUGCAAAUAAAAUUUGGAAGCAAUCAAACGAUGGAA